rnacentral:snoRNA from 1 species
GUGAUGAUUUAGUUUAAAAAUGUUUACAGUUAGAUUACUGAUUACUAUGAUGCCACUUUACUAGGGCGGUCUGAGGCU